rnacentral:rRNA from 1 species
UACAGAGGUCUCAAGCGUUGUUCGGAUUCAUUGGGCGUAAAGGGUGUGUAGGUGGCGCCGUAAGUCGGGUGUGAAAUUUCGGAGCUUAACUCCGAAACUGCAUUCGAUACUGCCGUGCUUGAGGACUGGAGAGGAGACUGGAAUUUACGGUGUAGCGGUGAAAUGCGUAGAUAUCGUAAGGAAGACCAGUGGCGAAGGCGGGUCCCUGGACAGUUCCUGACGCUGAGGCACGAAGGCCAGGGGAGCAAACGGG